rnacentral:ncRNA from 1 species
AAAUCCUGCACGAAAAGAGAAUAACCACCUCAUUCGUUAGUGAGUCUUGCAUGGCUCUGGGUAACUGGAAUCAUGAAGCGUAGACAGCGAGGUAACAGGGUGAGUAUUGAGCACUGAAAUCCCUUAAUCUAGGAAGCCGACCAAGUGGGUCUCUGGGAAGGCAACAUGUGGGUUUAUCGUUAUGGUGAGAUUUCACACAUUCCUACGGUGUCAUAGACC